UGGGGAAUAUUGGACAAUGGGCGAAAGCCUGAUCCAGCCAUGCCGCGUGAGUGAUGAAGGCCCUAGGGUUGUAAAGCUCUUUUGUGCGGGAAGAUAAUGACGGUACCGCAAGAAUAAGCCCCGGCUAACUUCGUGCCAGCAGCCGCGGUAAUACGAAGGGGGCUAGCGUUGCUCGGAAUCACUGGGCGUAAAGGGUGCGUAGGCGGGUUUCUAAGUCAGAGGUGAAAGCCUGGAGCUCAACUCCAGAACUGCCUUUGAUACUGGAAGUCUUGAGUGCGGGAGAGGUGAGUGGAACUGCGAGUGUAGAGGUGAAAUUCGUAGAUAUUCGCAAGAACACCAGUGGCGAAGGCGGCUCACUGGCCCGAUACUGACGCUGAGGCACGAAAGCGUGGGGAGCAAACAG
rnacentral:rRNA from 1 species